AAACAGAUUCCAUUUGGGGCUAAAGUAAAGGAAAGACCAAGUGGCAAUAAAGUGGUAGCCAGGCCAUUCCAGACAGAUACUUUGGGUUUAUCUCCUAUGGCUGAAAAUAACCCUGCUCCGGAGAUGAUUCCAACAGCAGUAGCAGCACCUCAACUUAUUAAUGAAGACUGGGUAGCUUGCGACAGUUGCCAGAAAUGGCGGCUUCUACCUACCGGUGUAACACCCGAUCAACUGCCAGAGAAAUGGUUAUGUAGCAUGCUUUAUUGGCUGUAAGUUGCUUCUUUAUGUUGGUUGAAAUUAUGCAGAUCAUAUUAUUUUAGAUGUCUAUAUUGCACCAACACUUCACAUUGAAGCCGUGUUCGGUGUCUGACAUGUAACACUGACACGGCAUUGUCACACAUGGUUACAUUCAAAUAAUUUCUUGCCUGAAAAUAUGACUGUUGUCGGCGUCAGUGUCGUGUCCGAUGUUCUUGUUUGUGUCGGUGCUUCCUAGCUAGAUGUCCAGUUAGUAUGAUGUUGUAUUAUCAACAAUAGUUAAGGACUAUCUUGAAUGAUAUACCAGUUACCAUUUUUUUUCCUUCCAUUCUCUCCAUUUGUGCUUACUUUUGAGUGCACUCUAUGUUUCAUUGCCUCAUUGCUCUCCUGAAUUUGUUAGGCCUGGGAUGAAUUCUUGUGACAUCAGUGAGGAUGAGACAACAAAGGCACUGUAUGCUUUAUAUCAAAUGCCAAUGUCUGAGGGUCAAAAUAAUUUGCAAACGCAUGCCUCUGAAACAGCAUUUGGUGUAAGCUUUACUGAUGCUUUGAAGUUUGGACUGAAUCAGAAAAAUUCCAGUUCUGAUGUAUUGCCUGAUCGAGGAACGAAAAAACAUGUUUUUAAGGAAAAGAUGAUGUCAGGAAAGAUCAAUGCUCAAGCAUCCGGAAAAAAUAGAAGCAUGAAUGACGUGAAUCAACAUCCUACGGAUUCAAAACCAAUGAAGACAAUGAGUUCUAAACAUUCUAGCAGGUUUGACAACAUGAUCGAAGAUAAACAUGUGUCUGAAGAGAAAGAAAUGCAAAUAAGUGGAGGUACCUCAUUUAAUUUAGAGUUAAUAUAUUGUUAUUUCAGAUUAAUAUUUUUGUUUGAAAAUUGAAAGUUUAUUUAAAUAUUCCCGUGGUUUCUUCAAACAUGCGCAGGUAGUAGAAAGCCUAUUAAGUUGAAACGUAAGAUGGAUGCUGAUCAAUCUAGUUCGGGAACUCCCAAGAAAUCAAAAACUGAACAUGUGCCCUAUGCUGAUAGACAAUCAGAUCCUGGCAUGGGCCUUGGGAAAGUUGUUCUAAAUGCAAGAAACAGUGUACCAACAAAAGCUAGCAGGAAGGAUGUGGGAAAGUAUGAUGAGUUUGGUUUACCCGAUGAUGAUGACGAGGACAGCUUACUAGCUCCUGUAAAGAAAGAGAGAGAUCAGGUUGAGGUCACUUCUGGUGUUUGCUCCUUGGAUGCGAAGAAUACCAGUAAAAAUGGUGGUUUAACGAGGAAACGGAAAUUCAAGGACUGUCCGGAUGAUGAGACUGAGAAGCAUAACAGGUCAUCCUCUUUGCAUGGUGAUAAGCAAUGCGGUGGAGGGGGAAACACAAGUAAACUUCGGAUGGAAAGUCAGCAUAAAAUUUUGAAACAAGAGGCAAAAUCAGUAGCUGAAGGUGAUGAUAAAUUGAGGAAAGGUGAGAUGAGGCGAGUUUCCUUACCAGGCAAUCAAGACCAACUGACGGUUGAGACAGAAGGAAGAUACACUGACAAAGACCGCCAGCCAAUGAAGCGCAGAAAAAAUGUUGCAUCUCAUCAAGCUUUGGACGGUAUUUCUCCAUUGGGCUUUGGAGGACAACUAGCAUUUGCAGCAACUUCAAGCUCUUCAAAGGUUUCAGGUUCUCAUAAAGCUAGAACCAACUUCGAUGAUGUGAAAGGUUCUCCUGUGGAAUCUGUUACUUCGUCACCUUUGAGGUCCUCUAACCUAGAUAAACGUGUUUCAGCAGCAAGAGACAUUUCAGUGAAGGAUGAUUCUGUAAAAGUCAGUCUGUCUUCAAGGAGAAGUGCAAAUAAUGGGGAGGGGAAGUUAUCAUUAAGGUUGAAGGGGAACAAGAUUCUGUCUAAUGCACAUCCUGCGCCACAUAAAUUAUCUUCAGAGUACCAGAUUAAGGAAGCUAAAGACAAAAUCAGGGUCCAAGCGAAAACUUCCUCUGAAAUUAAGGGUAAUCGUUUGCUUGGUGUUCCCGUUGAAGAGCAUGGCAAUUGUGCUAAUAGCAUGCGUCAUGCCGAGAAAGUAAACAAGAACAACCAGAACGAACUUUCUGGGAAGAAACCUGACAAGGUUACAUCAUUGCACAGCAUGGAAAUGAACAGAAGGUCCGGUUCUCAGGUUGGUACAGAUAAGAUGAAGGUUUUGGCAUCAGAGAAUUGUUAUUCCAAGAAUGGUGGAAGGCAUGAUUCAGAAGUUGACCCUAGUCAUCGUUCAUUUGGUACCGAGACAAGAAAUGAUGCUAAAUACUGUUCUCCUAUGUCUAAAUGUGAGAUUGACAAUAUAAGUCAGAAGAGUGCUUUAAGACAUGGGUCAAUCGAAACUGGAAAGCAAACCGAGGUGAAACAAAAAAACUUCGAGAAACCAGUAAUGAAUAUGGAUAGUCAACAUAGUACUGGUGGUACUAGAAAGACUAUCUCCCAGCAGAACGUGACUCAGGAUGUUGAGGAACAAAACAAAGUUAAUCAUGUAAGCACAGAAUCAAGAGACAGGAAAUCCAAAGCUCUUGGAUCUGCUGAUGCUGAAAUAAAAAGGGAAACAUUAACUUUACCUCGGUAUCAAAAGGGAGACAUGUCUAAUGAACAUCCAGUCCAUGCUGGCAACAGUGGUUUGACCAAGUUAGCGAGAUUAUCUGCUGAUUCUAGCAGCAAUGUCUUAGUUAAUUGUAGUUCUGGAAGUGUUCCACCUGGUCAACAACUCACUGUGUCAAGUCCUGUGAGAACAAAUGCUAACCAAACUUCCGUUGACAUUCUGGAAGAAGCCUCAAAGCUAAAAGUCAAAGCAGAUACUUAUAAGGUUAAUUGGAUCAUUUCAAGAUUUUACUUCUUAUCUUUGGUUGGAUCUACCACCUUUCUUUUUCUAACUGAUGAUGUAAUACUGUUUAUUUCAUAGAACUCUGGAUUUGAUUUUGAAAGUAAUGAGACCUACUUUGAAGCUGGUUUGAAGUUUCUGCAUGGAGCAUCUCUUGUAGAAAGUUGUCACAAUGAGAUUAGCAAGCAUGUGGAGAUGAGUCAAAUGCAAAUUUAUGCCACUGCAGCCAAACUUUUCAAGUAUGCGAAAAUAUUAUGAAGCUAUAAGUAAAUUUAUCAUUUUAUUUAGAUUUGUGGUUAAUUUAGUUAUUGGUCAAAGUAAAUUUUGGAAAAAAAGGUUUGUCAACAAAUAAGGUUGAAAGUGACAGAUAAGGCUUGGAAGUAAUUUGGUUGUGAUAGAAGAAUGGAUUUUAACUUGUUAUAGUUAUAGAUUUUAGUCUAUAUGCUGAAUAUAGUAAAUUGUAUUAAAAUAUUGGGAAAUUAUAUAGUAGUGAAUGUCACUUUUUCUCACUGUAUUCUCCUGUCUUUUUAGUGUAUUUUAGGAUUCUUCUUUUGCAGACAAUAUGCUCUAUAAAAUAUAUGGCAACAAUAGUUGCAUGAUCCUGUGUUAGCAAAAUGCUCCUACUUUGCCUAGUUGUUACAAUUACUGGAGUGUAAAACUACAUUGAUUGCUUGUGAAGUUGUGUUUAGUUUUCAUUAUCUUUAGGUUAGGGAGGGGGUCAUAUUCAUAUCUCAUUUCGGGAAUCACAAAAGCCAAUCAUCAUUUUCAAUAUGCUUUUCUCAAUUUUUAUAGAAUUGCCUGCUUAGGUCAAUUGUUUUUGCUGUUUUCUACUUCUCACAGACUUGCUGUUAUUUCAUUUGCUUGUCUUGACAACUUGUAUAAAAUUGUUUCAUUAUGACAUAAAAGUCUGAGUUGGAGCUAUUGUCUCAGCAUGCCUUCAUUCGUAAAAUACCUUGUAAUGUUUUUCAGGUCAUGUGCCUUUGAAUAUGAAAGUCGUAAGGAAAUGGCAGCAGCUGCUUUAGCAUAUAAAUGCAUGGAGGUGGCAUACAUGAGAGUGGUUUACUGUAAACAUUCUAGUACAAACAGAGAUAGGUGUGAGUUGCAAUCAACUCUUCAAAUGGUUUCUCAAGGUAACGAAACACGGUUUGAUGUCAAUAUAUGCAUCUUGAGGCUUAUCAGUCAGCAUUGUGUGUUUUGUCAUCUUCAAGCAAUGAAUAAACAAAAUUAGUGCACUGUUUUUUUUGUUUUUUUUAGGUGAAUCUCCUUCAUCUUCGGCAUCUGAUGUUGAUAACUUAAACAAUCAAGUUGCAAUGGAUAAGGCUACUUUGCCCAAGGGUACUAACGCCAAUGUUGCUAGUAACCAUGUCAUUUCUGUUCGAACUCGUCCAAGUUUGGUCAGGCUUCUUGAUUUUGUAAGUUUAACUUUUUAUAUACCUCGUGUUUUUAUUUGGAAGCCCCAUGGAUUUCUUGGUUUAUCGAUAGAAGAUAUCAGUUGGAAAUUUCGUUGUCUUAGAUAGAAUACAAUAACAACCAAGCCUUUUGCCAUUAGUUCUUUCCUUGAUGAAAUGUUUGAGAAAAACAAGUAUGAUUUGAUUGUUAACUGAUUUUUCUAUGCAAGAGAAGUUCAAAAUUGAUCCUUGGACAAUUUUCUAUUGCAUGCAAGAUCAUUGCUAAUACUUGAGAAUUGAGAUUCCUCGAAAGCAAUAAGGAUAGUUGUCAGGAAAGAUAUGUAGUGUUGGGUUCAAGUGGUUAAUACCUUAAGGUCGAAUUGUUUGGGAGAACCCGAGUUCAAAUCUGACUAGAGCACUCAUUAGUGAGUCUUUACUUACCUCCUUACCGAACUCCAGAUUACUAGCCCCCUUUCUCAGGAAUUGAAGGGUUUUAGGACAGUAAAUAAGGCAUGUAGUGUUGAAUGUCACUGAAAACUUGUAAUGCAUGCUUCUUCCCACUUCACCUCAAUACUUUGCCGUUAGCAUGUACAGUUAUUGAGUUUCACUAUAGACACUAAAGGUGUAUCUUAAGGACUUACUGUGUAUCUAUAUUAUUUUAUGGAAUAUUGGGUGAUAGUUUUUGUGAUAUUGCAGACUCAGGAUAUAAAUUUUGCAAUGGAGGCUGCUACAAAAUGUCAGUGCACAUUCGGUGCUGCCAAUGCGAUGAUGGAAGAAACACGGAAUAGGGACUGUAUAACUUCUAUUAGGAGGGUUAUUGAUUUCAGCUUCCAGGAUGUAGAUGAGCUUGUACGCCUGGUUCGGAAUGCGACAAAAGCCAUAAGUGGUGCUGGUCUUGGUGGUGCUAGAGAUUAACUUGAUCAUCAUGUAUAUAAUGUAUUUUUCUAAGUUGUGCUUCUCCACUGAGAUGGCAUUCUGAAAGGAAGAGGAAAUCUGCUAAGUUGGCUGGUUGCUGGGAUAUGUUACCUUUGUGUACAUUUGUACAAAAAAAAUGUGAUUGCUCAGAAAUUUUGUAAGGAGAUUUUAAUUAAGGGUUCUUAGUAGGGGCAUAACACACCCUUAUAUUAUGAGUUAGAAAGAGGGAAGGGAUAAUGCAUUAGAGUUCAGUGCUACAUUCUUUGCUCCACUUAAUUGGAGCCCUAGAAAAAAGAAUAGAAUAUGGAGAUGUUAGGAGGAAGCAACCAUUUUUGAGGGCGUUGAAUACUGAUAUAGUUAUAGUAGGUCCAAUUUUUUUAUGAUAAACUCUUUGGUGUUUAUGAUAUCAAAAAUUUUGAAUGAAUAGAAAUCCUUGCAGAAAAUUAAUUUCCUUGUGCUGUGUAUGUCAUCUAAUAUAAUUCGAUGUUAAACAUAUAUUCCGGAGUUGAAUAUCAUUAGCUGGGUUAUAAUGGUUGUUCUACAAUAAACUUUUGAUCCUAUUUACGAUUUUUGUCUUUCUAUUUUUAAAUUUGAAAAUGUAGUUUCCAAGUUUUUUAAGAGAUUUUUUUUCACUGCAGAAUUUGUGGUUUAGUUUGCAGAUGUAUCAAGUUAAAUAAUGAGUUUCUUUCAACAAAAAAUGAAAACGGUAAAUAAUGAGUUGGAUAAUUAAAAAGAGUUAGAUGCUGAUUUGAAAAUAAAAUAGUGUGAGAACCAGUUGAUUUGUACACAAAACCAUACUAUAUGAUGCUUGAAUUUCAAGCCUUCUGCAUUUAAAAAUUCAAAGCCCUUCUGUUGGCAGGAUAAACACGUAUAGGUAGACACCACCUAGCAUCUCUAGAUACUAGUAUAACUUAUUUCUUUAGGGAUAUUAUCACAAAUAACUUCACUUUUAAAAGUUUUGAUUUUAUGCCACAUUGACCUAAAUUCGACAUUCCAUUUAUCAAUUUUUUUUGGAGAAGGGACAAUUAUUAUUAAUAACGGAGACACUAAUGAUCAUUUUACUACUAUUUAAGGUGAGAUUUGGACCACAUUUCUUGAAGUUACAAAGUCAAAUUUUAUCACUAAGAGCAUGAUUAUCGUCUGUGACAUUUUUUUUUUUGGUUACAAAAGCUAAAAAGAAGAGAAAAAAAACAAGACAGGAAAGAAAAAAAACACGCCUAAGCUCUAGGAAACGCAGUUCCCAUGGCGUCUAAUCUUAUCAAAGGAAGAAGAUCAUAAGGAGGGGCUGUAUGUCUUGCAAACUCACCGUUUGAAUUUGCACCAAUCUUUGCCAUGAAAUCCGCACAUUGAUUUCCUUCUCUAAGACAAUGUUGUAUGGAGAAGUUUGUUGAGAAUAGCAAGUCUUGAAUGUCUUGAAUUAAAACAGCAUAAGCAUGGAAGCGGAAGCUACUGUUAGUGAGCAGCUUGACUGAUAGCAGCGAAUCUGUAUAGCAGACCAUUUCUUCAAUUCCAUUUUCGAUUGCCAUGAGUAAGCCUCUGUGAAUUGCCGUAAGUUCAGCGAACAAGAUGUCCGUGGUUGCUUCGAUAAAUCCGGAGAAACCUUGAAGGAAAAAGCCUGCUGAGUUACGUAAUAUACCUCCGUAACCGGCUCGAACUGGAGAACCCAAGCAGCUGCCAUCCACAUUUAACACGGCACCAGUGUAGUUGGUAUUGUUCCAGCGAAUCAUUCUUUCUGAGAACUGGACAGGCGCGGCUUGGUAUGAUGCGUUAAUAGCAGAGACUGAACUGUGAAUAUUAAACAUAAUCCGAUGGAGAGACCAAAAUUCAUGGUUAAGGCACAUUAAAUUGCGGUGUCUCCACGUCCACCAGAGUGCGGCAAGGAAGAGGGAAGAAUGGAUUCCAGCAGCGUGCUUUUUAAUCCAGUUAUGUGGUAUAGCUUCAUUGAGAAAAACGUUAUCAGUAAAACCGAGCUGGUACCAAAUAAUGGAGGAGAAGCGACAAUCCCGAAGGCAAUGCAUUAUGGUUUCUUCGUCUUCUCCACAUCUCGAACAGGUAGAAGAGGGAGCCAUAUGUCGGUGUUGGAGAAGAGAUAGAGUCGGGAUCGCGUUAUGGCAAGCCAGCCAAAUCAACAGUUUGAAUUUUUCGGGGGAUUUUAGCUUCCAUAUCCAAGACCAAGAGUGGGUAGAUGGCGGGUUGAUGUCAGUAUCCGAGUUGCAAAGUAGCCAAGAAUAGCCGCUGUUUGCUGUGUAUACCCCAUUAAUAUUGUGUCUCCAUAUGGUGGUAUCUUCAACUCUGUCAUUAAAUCUGAAGUUGGUGUUAUUGAUGUAAUCUGCAAUUGCUGGAGGCAGAUUAGUGUAGAGAGCAUGAGUGUGUUGGCCGUUAUGGGUGAAAACAUCUUUAACUGUGAGUUGAAUAUCAUGUAUGUCAAUGAUGGGAACCAGUGAACCAAUCAGUCCGUGGGGGCUCCAAUUAUGAAACCAAAAAGAGGAGUUACCUGAGCCAGCACGCCAUAGAUAACCAUUACGGAGAAUAUUUUUUGCUUUGAUGAUGGAAGACCAAGUGGGUGAACUGUUACUACUGCAGGUGGCUUGAAGGAUGUUUGACCCUGUGGCGUAUUUGUUAGAUAGCAUGUUAACCCAUAAUUUGUUUGUUGAUUGAACCAUGUCCCAAACAAGUUUUCCAAGGAGACAAGUGUUUGCUUCUCUAGCUCUCCUAAUUCCCAAUCCUCCAGACCGUUUUGGGGUAGUUACUUUCUUCCACUUUACCAAGUUAACUCCUUUGUUGUUUGUGUCUUUCCAAAAGAAAUUCCUGGUUGUCUGAUCAAUACUAUCACAAAUACUCUGAGGAAGCCAAUUAAUCUGCAUAUAGUAAGUGGGUAUGGAGGAUAAAACAUAUGUUGCUAAAGUCAGUCUACCUGUUUUAUUGAGUAGCCUGUUCUUCCAAGUUGCCAAGCGAGAUUUCAUUUUUUCAAUGAUGAAGUUGAAAUCGUUCCUCUUGGGGCGUCUAUGGAGCAUAGGGAAACCCAAAUACUUGCCAAGUGAGGUUGUGCUUUGGAUUCCGGAUAUGGCGGUGAGGCUGGUGAUUUUUCCAUGAGGAGUGCUUGACGAGUAAAAAGCUCUUGACUUAGCAAUGUUGAUUCUCAACCCCGAGGCUUGACUGAAUCUUUCAAACAAAUCAUGAAUAAGAUGAACCUGAGAGGUCUUAGCAUAAGAAAAAAGAAGGACAUCAUCUGCAAAUAGGAGAUGGGAUAAAUGCGGCCCCGUAGGAGUGAUUUGGAUGGGUGCCCAUCUUCCUUGGGCAACUGCUGAGUUUAUAGCAGCGGAUAGCUUUUCCAUGCAAAGGAUGAAAAAAUAAGGGGACAACGGAUCACCUUGUUGGAGGCCAUGAGAAGGCUUGAAAGGCGGCAACUUGUUCCCAUUCCAAAGUAUAGAGUAACUCGGAGAAGCUACGCAAUGCAUGAUGAGCUUGAUGGUGAUGUUAGGAAAUCCAAAAUCAUGGAGGCAGUUGUUUAGGAAUUCCCAGUUGACGUUGUCGAAUGCUUUCUCCAAAUCAAGCUUGAAAGCUACGUAUCCCUUCUUCCUCUUAGAUCGCUUCAUGAAAUGAAUAAUUUCCUGCAAAACAAUAGAGUUAUCUGCAGUGCCCCUACCAGGCAGAAAACUGCUUUGAUAGGGACCAAUAAUGUUAGUAAGAAUAGGCCGAAGCCUGUGAACCAGUACCUUUGUAAUAAUUUUGUAAGUAAUAUUACAAAGGCUGAUGGGCCUGAAGUCUUUGUAAGUGGUGGGUGGGUCAAUUUUUGGGAUAAGUGCAAUGAGAGUGUUUGAAAUCUCUGGAUCAAAGUAACCUGUUUGGAAAGCUGUUUGGACCAUAUGGAAAAUGUCAUUGCCAAUAAUAUGCUAGUACUGCUUGAAGAAGAUGCAAUGGAAACCAUCUGGACCAGGGGCUUUGUAGGGCUUCAUGGAGUUAAGGGCAGCAUAAACUUCAUUUUUGGUGAUUGGUGCGGUUAGGGAGAUUUUUCCCUCUUCAUCAAUGGAAAGGUGGGUACCUUCAGUAAAAGUUCGGUCACAGUUGGCUUGGCUAGCAGUGAAGAAAAGCUUGAAGUAAUUUUGUGCUUCUUGCUGGAGAGUAUCACUAUCGGAGGACCAAGUGCCACAGGGGAGCUGAAGUCUAUGUACUCGAUUUCUCUUUCUUCUAACUAUGGUUUGAGUGUGGAAGAAAGCGGUGUUUUUAUCCCCAAAUUUCACCCAUUUUUCUCUUGAUUUUUGGUACCAAAGCAUUUCUUCUUGGAAAAGAAUAUGAUUGUAUUCUUUUUGGAGCUCUUUUUCAAGGUGGGAGUGCCGGAUGGAAUCAACCCUUUCAAGAUAAUUUUGAAUUCCUUUGAGUCGGUUUUCAAUAUGCUUUUUUCUUUGGAAAAUGUUGCCGAAGACUUCAUGAUUGAAAAUGGUGGAAUUAUCUUUGACUUUGUUCAAGGCCGAAAUGAUGUUUUGGUUGCGGGGUUGCCAAGAAUUUUUUACCAAUCUCUCGUAGUCGACAUGAUCAAUCCAAGCUGCUUCAAAACGAAAAGGCCGCUCACCUCUAGAUAAAGGUAGGCCCCCAAAACGAAGGAGAAGAGGAUUGUGGUCAGAAUGGAGCCUACAAAGAACCUCAACGAAAGCUUCUGGGAAGUUCAUGUGUCAGUUAACAUUAGCCAAACCUCUAUCAAGCUUUUUGGAGAGAAUGCGGAUGCCAUUAUUGUUUCUAUGCCAAGUAAACUUUCCGCCCGUGGUUGUGAGGUCAAGGAGAUUGCAAGAAUUCAUAAAAUUUGAGAAGGAGGCAGCUCGGCUAUGGUUGAAAACGCCACCUCUUUGUUCACUUGGUAGGAGAGUUUCGUUGAAAUCACCUAUGAUCAUCCAUGGCGCAUCAAUGGAGUGGUUGAGAUUUAUUAAAUGAGUCCAAAGGGUGGGGCGUUGGGUUGGGUUAGGGCUUGCAUAGAUGCAAGUGCAAAAGGAGGAAGCAUUGCCACGGUUAAUGGUGAAGGUUAGGGAGUGAUGGUUAGAAUCAGUGAUAGUAGUUAAAAUGUUUGUAGCGGAGUGUUUUAGAAGCCAAAUUCCUCCAGAAUGGCCAUUGGCUUCUAUGAUGUGAACGGGGGUAUAAUCAGUGUUAGCCCAGAAAGUGGAUAGUCUAAGAUAAGGAACAUGAGUCUCAUAAAUUGCUAUGAAGGUUGGGUUGUGUUUUCUCAUCAAAUCUUUAAGGUUUCUUCUUGCAUUGUUAUUGUGAGCCCCUCUAAUAUUCCAAGAGAGGAUGGUAAUAUCAAGGAGAGCUUCCAUAACAACGUAAUCUGAAAAGAACAAGAGAAAAAUGAUGCUACGUGACCAUGUCUUCCUCUUGUGCUUCGUGAGUAUCCAGGUUCUGUUGAACAACAUCAUCAUGGUGGUCAUCUUCGAUGGUUUCACAAGUUUGGUAUUUUAAGGAGUUGUUGGCUUCGUGUUCAGUUUGAAUGGAGGGAGUAGUGAGCAUGAAACUAGGAUUGGCCUCAGGUGUUUGAUUAUUGAUAACAAUGGGAACAUUUUUUUGAGCUUCAUUAGUGGUAGUUUGUUUAUUUGGUAAUUGUUGAGUUGUUUUAGGCACGUGCGGUUCAGGAGUGGCCUUGCGGUUGAGUGGGGGCGACAACAUUAAAGGGUUGACAUGGGAGAAGUCAAAAAUCGGCUCAUCAGUGGUGAUGUCGUCAUGCCUGCGACGUUUUGUGUCUUUAGGAACUUGAUGGGUGCGUGUUUGGUCAGUAGUGGGGUAAGGGCGUGGCUGGUUGUUAGGAUUGAGUGGGCCAGCUUUGUUUCUAAUAGUUAGACUGUUAAGGGCAUUGAAUUUGUUAAUUUUUUAUGUAACGGUUUUUUGUGGAUUUAUGAUGGGGUUUUUUGUUGGUUUCUUUUUUCUAGUGACAAGUAACCAUUCCCCAUGUAGCACAUGAUUAUCUCCAUCAAUGCCAAUUAAUUGGUCAUCAUUAGGUAAUGAUUCUUUAGGAAAAGUAGUAACUGCUUUACCUUUUUGUGCGUUAUGAAUUAAAUGCUCAUCGGAGGUGGCUGUUGGCCGUGUUUGCUGGCUGUCGGCGGCUGGUUGGUGGCGUGUUGGUUCGCCGGGGGUGGGUUGUGCCGAAUUUGUUGAGCAGUUCCUUCCCAAGUGACCAUAGCAUCCGCAGUUGGUGCAAAUUAGGUGGAGACCCUCAUACUGAACUUUGUACCAAAGUCCGUUGACCCAAAUUUUCCCUACCACCGGCACAGUCAGAUCAAUUUCCACACAGACUCUGGCGAAUUUACCUCUUUCAAUUUUCAGGGUGUUUGUGUCAACUUUGAUGGGGCGGCCAAGAGCAGAAGCCAUAGCUAACAAGAAACUCUCAUCAUAGUACACUAAGUUCAGACCUGGGAAUCUAACCCAAACAAUUGUUUUGUCCACUUUAGCAUUCGGAGAUGCAAAUUCAGGCGACCAGUGGGUGACUGUGAGGCAGUGAUCAAAGAUUAACCAAGGGCCUCCCGUGAUGACUUUUUCUUUGUCUGCAGCUUGAUCAAAUUUCACCAUGUAGAAACCGUUAUCAUUGUCCAUGAUUUCAAAACCCCCUUGUGGUCUCCAUGUUCGUUGUAGCCUUUCUCUCAUGGUGUGGUAGCCGAGAUUUUUCCCCAGCAACUUGACAACAAUAGCGUCCUUCCAUGGCGUGCAUAAUUCUUGGAAGACAGAUGGUUCAAGGUAAACCUUUGGAAGGAGUCGGUUACCAUUCUCGUGUUCAAUACGAACAAGAUUUUUCUCGAUCAUGUCUUCCUUUUCACGGAACAUUGGUUCUUGAGAGGGUCCUAGGAGUUUGUCACGGAAAAAGAUCUUUGGGGAUGGUGGCUUGUGUGGAUCGGGUGGUUUUUUGGUGGCUUGAAGGUUGUGGUCACUCAGAGCAGAGAAAACGAACUCAAAGCUCAUUACACUAUCCUUCUUCCUAUUGGUCGGUUUCCAAUAAAUUUUGUCAGUAUGGCUUUGAUAUUUGGUAUUUAUGAGAGUGGCUCUUCUUUGCGUGGUAUCUGUGCAUUGCAACCGUGUUUUAUAGCUUUUCUUUGGCACUUGCUCUUUUUAAAUCAAUAUAUAUGUCCUUUUAUAAUUAGAAUGAGUGUUAUAUUAUAAGAUAGGUGAAGCCCAUUUUAGAGUUUUGGAGCAGUGAUAUGAAUAUUUAGAAAAUGUAGUUGAGUGGUUUAAAUAAUUGGAAAGUGUGAAAUAAUAUAAUGUAUUAUGUGUGACCAUUUAUACCACCCAUAUAGAUGCCAUAGAUGUGGAUGCUCUAAGUUAACACCUCUUGAACAACCCUUAAAAAUGAGUAAGAUGUCAUUUUUUUCAUUUGGUAACAACUCUGUUGUGCUACCAAUCUGCCACUUUGAAAUAUCGACCACCUCCCAUGUGGUAUCUCUUUCUCCUCCCACAAGGAUUUGAAACCAUGACCAAAGGCUUAGUACAUGGAACCAUACUUAUGUUUCACCACGUGAGUUAUAAGUGCAAUUCAGAAGGUAACAAACUGAGAGGAUAUUUGAUAUAUUGGAGCGUGCAUUUGAACUUGCAAUACACUUCUUUAUAUUUAGUGUGUGUAAGUUUUACCGUUAGAUCUGUUGGCAAAAAAAUAAGAGUAAGAGAGAACAAAAUAAAAGAAUUUUCUUUUUAAGAAUACGACAGUUGGAUGUAGAACCUCAUUUCAUAUUUAUUUGGAUUUUUUUAAAGAUGAAGAAUAUCAGUGCAAAGUCAUUCAAAUGCUUGUUAGACUCGAGGGAUUAUCAUGCAUAGUAAAGGAUUUGGUCGUAGUGAAGUUUAAACUAAAAAGAUUCCACAACCACUAACAUAUGACUAAGAACCAAUAUGUAUUUUUUUUAAGUGUCUUCUUUAUGUCUCCUCUCAUAAAAAUUAAAAAGGGAGCCUUGAAGGAUACUACUCAUAAAAUCAAUCUCUUGUAUAAAAUAAAAAAUAGGAUUGUCUAUAAUAAAUUCAUUAGAGUACUGAUAUUAAGUGGAACUUCAUUGGAUUUUUUUUUUUAAGAAAGUCUCAGAUUUGAGUUUUGUAGAUGAAAAACGUGGUUUGGAUAUGAGACUUUUUUUAAAAAGGAUCGGUCAGAGACUUGGAUGAAAAUUAGUCAUCGACAAAGUUAAUAGAUACUUCAUACGUAUAACAUAAUUCUAAAUAAAAAAUACAAAAUUAGUAUGAUUUUUCUAGAAUUUCCACCGUGGUCAGAAUUUCAUGACAGCAUGUUAUUAUUAUUUUUUCCUUCUCUUUUUGAGGUCAACACAUUUCUCCAACCAGUGUUGUUAGAAACAAAGGGCACAUAUUCGAUGAUCAUAGUACUAAGUUACUUUUGACCUAAUUGAUAUUCUUUUUAGCUAAAAAUCAUUAUGUAUGCUUAUAAAUUUGAUUUUGCAUGAUCUUGAUUCUACAAAAUUGAUUUCAGUAUAAAUACAUUUACAUUGUUGCUGGUUACUCUUGGGUCACAUUAUUGGAGAGUUUCACAUAAGAAGUAAGACUUGUAAGUCUAGGAUUCUUAAAUGCGAAAUAUUAUUAUUAAGGAGCUGCCAUGCAAAUUUUAUUAGAAUUGAUGAGUCAUAUAUUGGAUUCUUUCACAUAAGAAGUAGAAAUUUAUGACUUUCCCUUAAGAAGUAUGACUUAUUAGGUGCCAUUUAGCUUGGAUCAAUUGAAGAAUUGGUCCAUGAUGGAUCAAUUUUUUUAAUGUUUAGAUUAGACUAUCCAUGAAAUCUUAUCAUACUCUAUCCACACUAAAUCUUAGCCAUCAUCAACUCUAUCUCUUUCAUUGUUCUCUCUCUCAACCGGAUCCAAUCUCUCUACUUCCUCAAUUACCCAUUCCACUCCUUCAAUUCCCCGUCCUUUCACUCUUUAGUAUUUUUUCAUUUGCUUGUUAUUAUUUCAAAUUUCAAAUUAAUGAAACGGCAAUUUUUAUAUCAAUAUUAUUCAAGAACUCCCUCUAGUUCCAUUGAAAUGGCGUAGGUUCAAGAUUAGCCGUAGCAAUAUAUAACCAAAUCAAAAAAUUAUUAUGGUGAUGGAUUUAAAGUUGAAAUUGAUCCCAAGCUUAAAUAGAGGAAUUUCUUUCUCAUGGAUUAUUCUUCUCACAGUGUAACUUUGAUGUUUAAAUUGAUCUCACAAUGCAACUUUGAUGUUGAUCUCAUUAAGGGAAGAAAGUUACCAAUACUUAGGAAGGAACUGGUGGUUCAAAAAGUUUAUUUUAUGUUUUAUAUGUGAAUAUGAGCUUCUUCCCAAUUUGAUAGUGUGUGCAGAGAGAUAAAAUUGAUGUGUUAGAUAUAAUAUAAAUAGACCAUGAUAAGUUUAUCUGGAGUGCUCUAAUCUAACGUUGAAAUAAAUGGGUCCAUUAUAGACCAACUUUCCACUUUCUUAUGGAUUCAUUUUAUACUCAACCGACUUAUUAUCCUAGGAUUCUUUCACCCAAUAUACUAAUCUUUUGUAUAUAUUCUCCCUUUGGACUUGUGCACAGUGCACAUAACAAAUUUCAUCAGUCAUAUUAUAACACUAUUAUAGACUCAAACUUAUGCGCAUUAAUUAAUAUAGUGUUAAACGCGUUGAUAAAUCAUUGGGUUAUUUAAAUGGACUAAUUAAUAUAGUGUUACACUAUUAUAUUCUGCUCAACGUUUUAUGUUCGAUUUCCUCUAAUGUCAAUUUAAGUGGACUAAUUUAACUUCUUAAAAAACAAAAAAAAAAAUUGAAAAAAAAAGUAUGUGCCACUUUUCUUUAAAAAAAGUAAAUCAUACGUGGUUUGGGUGUUCCUAAUAAUUUAAGGAGGCAUUGAAAUAUAUUCGAUGAAAUAUGAGGAGUUGAGAUAUUUUAGAUUUGGGUCUGUUUGUUUUAGAUUAUAAAAAAAUGAACUUUCCUUUGUAUUUUGAAAAAUGGUUUUUUUUUAUUUUAUUUUAAAUUUAUUCAAAAUUAGUAAAAGUUAUUUUAAACUCAUUUGAUAUAAGUUAAAAAAGAGAUUUUGAUAUUUACUAACUUAAAUAUUUAUUGUUCGAGAUUUUAUUUAGUAAAAAUCACAUAUUUUUUCAAAAUGAUAUCUUUUAAAAAUGAUUUUUAUGGAAAGCUAUUUGAAACGUUUUUUCUAGAUUGCCUUUGAAGAAUGGUGGGUAAUUUACCCACCAACCAAUGAAAAUGAGCAAUUUGUUGGUGGGGUCAAGAUAGUUCAUGGAUACCACUUAAAAAUGUGCUUAUGUGGCUAAUGUGUAUUGGUUGGUGUAAAUUACCCACCAUUCUUCCAUGAGUACCCUAGUUGUCACCUAUUUAAAAUAGUUUUUUUAGAAAUUUUUUCAAAAUUUUAGUAUAAAAAAUUAUAACCAAAUGAUAAAAUACUUAGAAUGACAUUUUAAGAUAAACUAUUCAAACCGAUUUUUCAUUUGAAGCUUUCUUUAAAAACUUAUUUGUUAAAAAAAUUAUAACAAAAUCACAUUAAACUACCAAAAUCUAUUUUAAAAAAAGCUAUAAAAGUCAUCCAUCCAAGUGGCAAUAAAGUGGUAGCCAGGCCAUUCCAGACAGAUACUUUGGGUUUAUCUCCUAUGGCUGAAAAUAACCCUGCUCCGGAGAUGAUUCCAACAGCAGUAGCAGCACCUCACCUUAUUAAUGAAGACUGGGUAGCUUGCGACAGUUGCCAGAAAUGGCGGCUUCUACCUACCGGUGUAACACCCGAUCAACUGCCAGAGAAAUGGUUAUGUAGCAUGCUUUAUUGGCUGUAAGUUGCUUCUUUAUGUUGGUUGAA
rnacentral:lncRNA from 1 species